rnacentral:rRNA from 1 species
GACGAACGCUGGCGGCGUGCUUAACACAUGCAAGUCGAACGGAAAGGCCCUGCUUUUGUGGGGUGCUCGAGUGGCGAACGGGUGAGUAACACGUGAGUAACCUGCCCUUGACUUUGGGAUAACUUCAGGAAACUGGGGCUAAUACCGGAUAGGAGCUCCUGCUGCAUGGUGGGGGGUGGAAAGUUUCGGCGGUUGGGGAUGGACUAGCGGCUGAUCAGCUUGUUGGUGGGGGAGUGGCUUACCAAGGCAUUGACGGGUAGCCGGCAUGAGAGGGUGACCGGCCACAAUGGGACUGAGAUACGGCCCAGACUCCUACGGGAGGCAGUAGUGGGGAAUAUUGUCCAACGGGCGGAAGCCUGUGGCAGAAACGCCGCGGGCGGGAUGACGGCCUUCGGGUUGUAAACCGCUUCCGCCUGUUACGAAGCGGUAGUGACGGUAAUGGGUAAAGAAGCACCGGCUAACUACGUG